rnacentral:rRNA from 1 species
CGUGUAGGCGGUCCGCUAAGUCUGAUGUGAAAGCCCGGGGCUCACCCCCGGAAGGGCAUUGGAAACUGGCGGACUCGAGUCCCGGAGAGGAGGGUGGAAUUCCUGGUGUAGCGGUGAAAUGCGUAGAUAUCAGGAGGAACACCGGUGGCGAAGGCGGCCCUCUGGACGGUGACUGACGCUGAGACGCGAAAGCGUGGGGAGCAAACAGGAUUAGAUACCCUGGUAGUCCACGCUGUAAACGAUGAGCACUAGGUGUCGCGGGUAUUGACCCCUGCGGUGCCGCAGCUAACGCAUUAAGUGCUCCGCCUGGGGACUACGGCCGCAAGGUUAAA